rnacentral:rRNA from 1 species
AACGAACGCUGGCGGCAUGCCUAACACAUGCAAGUCGAACGGGAUCUUGACUUCGGUCAGGUGAGAGUGGCGGACGGGUGAGUAACACGUGGGAACCUGCCUUUUGGUUCGGGAUAACCGCGGGAAACUGCGGCUAAUACCGGAUACUCCCGAGAGGGGAAAGAUUUAUCGCCAGAAGAGGGGCCCGCGUCCGAUUAGGUAGUUGGUGGGGUAAUGGCCUACCAAGCCGACGAUCGGUAGCUGGUCUGAGAGGAUGAUCAGCCACACUGGGACUGAGAUACGGCCCAGACUCCUACGGGAGGCAGCAGUGGGGAAUAUUGGACAAUGGGGGGCAACCCUGAUCCAGCAAUGCCGCGUGAGUGAUGAAGGCCUUAGGGUUGUAAAGCUCUUUUUGCCAGGGAAGAUGAUGACUGUACCUGGAGAAUAAAGCCCCCGGGCUAACUUCGUGCCAGCAGCCGCGGUAAU